AUGUGCAAAUUUAAACCUGGGUAUACACUCUGUGUGCUUAUAAAUAGUCUAUAAUCCUAAAAUUGAAGGAGGAAGGAAGGGAGGAGCCAGGGUCUCACCCACCCACUCCCAGCUAGGGCUGUGUGUCUCCAGUAGAGGUUUUCUCCUCCUGGAUGGACCUGACGUGACCCACUGUGGUUCUGGCUUCUGUUGGGCGAUCCCCAGGCUCAGGUUAGCGUGAUUACCAGAUAAAUCACGCAUCUGAAAGCCGUUUGGAAACUGUAAAGCAUGACACAAAUGCAAGAUGCUAAACUUUAUCGCAGGGAAAAUGACAGAGGGCCUAGGACAGUGGGAGAAACCCUUCACCAGCUUCUAAGAUGGUCAGGUCGAAGGAUGCAGUAAACCUCCUGGCUCCUUCCCGAAGAACGCCGGGACUUAAAUGCACUGGGCCCCAGCCAAACAACCGAAUAAAGUGGAAAAUUUUUUCAUCACUUACAGAAACUAUUUUCACCCGGCAGA